rnacentral:rRNA from 1 species
CUUGAAUAGUAUGGAAGUAAUUAGAAUAUGUAGUGUAGCGGUGAAAUGCUUAGAUAUUACAUGGAAUACCAAUUGCGAAGGCAGAUUACUACGUACUUAUUGACGCUGAUGAACGAAAGCGUGGGUAGCGAACAGGAUUAGAUACCCUGGUAGUCCACGCCGUAAACGAUGGAUACUAGCUGUUCGGUUUUCGGACUGAGUGGCUAAGCGAAAGUGAUAAGUAUCCCACCUGGGGAGUACGUUCGCAAGAAUGAAACUCAAAGGAAUUGACGGGGGCCCGCACAAGCGGUGGAGCAUGUGGUUUAAUUCGAUGAUACGCGAGGAACCUUACCAAGGCUUAAAUGUAGAUUGACAGGUUUAGAGAUAGACUUUUCUUCGGACAAUUUACAAGGUGCUGCAUGGUUGUCGUCAGCUCGUGCCGUGAGGUGUCAGGUUAAGUCCUAUAACGAGCGCAACCCCUAUUGUUAGUUGCCAGCGAGUAAUGUCGGGAACUCUAACAAGACUGCCGGUGCAAACCGUGAGGAAGGUGGGGAUGACGUCAAAUC